UAUAGCAAUACCCUAUCUCCACUUUCCUAAUUCCACCUUCAAACGUUACAAUCCCUUCCCCUUCAAAGAAUGACCUUGUCCUCAAGGUCUUUGCAGAGCCACGAACUCUAGAAAUCUGCCUUUAAUGUAACCCCAAUCUUCCCAUGUGGCUUCUUCUUCACUCAAAUUAGUCGAGUGAACCAAGACUUUCACACGAACCCCAUUAUCCACUUUAGUCAUUUUUCGCUGCAAGGUAGCCAUAGGCUGAAUCAAGACUCGACCUGCAUCGUCACAAAUCAGAGGUUCUGGCUGAGAAUCGAUAGCUGGUCCAACCCUUUUCUUCAACUGCGAGAUGUGGAAGACUGGAUGUAGCUACGAAUCUGCUGGCAACUCCAAACGGUUUCAAUGGAAUGAAAUGGUCAUGCUCCCUGCUUGGUGGUAAUGUCUUGGGUUCUGCAAAUACUCCUGGAAACUUCUCCAAUACAGAUUUGAUCUCUGCAGAUUUCCUCCACAAAGUCGGGCCAUCUCACCACACCUAUACUAAUUUGGUAUGAAAAGUACCAUGACUCAGCCUUUCCAUUUAAAUGAAUAACAACAGUUUCAAGUUUAUGCUGAGGAUCAGAGAUGUGAUUAUAAUGGAAGUACCUUUCACAUUUCCUCAACCACGACCUGGGAUCACCAUCUUCAAAGUAUGGACAGUCUACCUUUGAAGCAAAGCUGCUCGAGUGGUAUCUCCCCAUAGGCUGCUCGUGAGGCUCCACCAUUCUUGCCCUACUUCAAGAACCUUCCACCUGAAGAUUUCCUGAAGGCGCACUUCCCAGAAUUCCAUCUUUACUAACGAAGAUUUUAUCCAUCAUUAUGUCAAACUUGUGAUGUAAAUCAUCCAUUUUUGAGUCAUUGGAGUCCAGCUUUUUAUUCGUCUCUGACAUGUAAUUCUGUAAUUGAUUCUCCAAUUUCUUUAUGUUUUCUUCUGUAGCUUUAGCCCUAGUUUCUGGUAUUGUCAUGGUGCCAGGACUUGCUCUGAUACCAAAUCUGUAAUGAACUA